rnacentral:misc_RNA from 1 species
UUUCCGUAGGUGAACUUGCGGAAGGAUCAUUAUUAUAUAACCUAUUUUCGAAGUCUGUCACUGACCCUAAAGGUCGUGCACACCCUAAUUCGCUCACACACGUCCAUCUCACCCCUAUAUGCACCACCGCGUGUCUCCCCCUGUGGCUUGUUCUGAGGGAGUCUUGCGUUUUCACACAUACUUUGUAUGCAGUGUAGACUGUAUUUUUUGUUUUUACGGUCACGCAAUCGAUACACCUAUCAACAACCUAUCUCUUGGCUCUCGCAUCGAUGAAGAACC